rnacentral:lncRNA from 1 species
CCCGUGUUGAUCCCGUGUUCAUCCCAUGUUGAUCCUAUGUUGCUUUGCUGCUCUACCCGUGUCCAUCCCACAUUGAUCCCGUGUCCAUCCCAUGUCAUCCCGUGUUGAUCCCAUGUUUGAGUCACUGCUGUACUCAUUUCCAUCCCAUGUUCAUCCCAUGUUAAUCCCAUGUUAUCCACUGCUGUUCUCAUCUCCAUCCUGUGUUAAUCCCAUGUUAAUCCC